CAGGCCUAACACAUGCAAGUCGAACGCCCCCGCAAGGGGGAGUGGCAGACGGGUGAGUAACACGUGGGAACAUACCCUUCGGUUCGGAACAACGCCGGGAAACUGGCGCUAAUACCGGAUACGCCCUUUUGGGGAAAGGCUUGCCGCCGAAGGAGUGGCCCGCGUUCGAUUAGCUUGAUGGCGGGGUAACGGCCCACCAUGGCGACGAUCGAUAGCUGGUCUGAGAGGAUGGCCAGCCACAUUGGGACUGAGACACGGCCCAAACUCCUACGGGAGGCAGCAGUGGGAAUAUUGGACAAUGGGCGCAAGCCUGAUCCAGCCAUGCCGCGUGAGGGAUGACGGCCUUCGGGUUGUAAACCUCUUUCACCUACGACGAAGCGCAAGUGACGGUAGUAGGAGAAGAAGCACCGGCCAACUACGUGCCAGCAGCCGCGGUAAU
rnacentral:rRNA from 1 species